UACGUAGGGUGCAAGCGUUAAUCGGAAUUACUGGGCGUAAAGCGUGCGCAGGCGGUUUUGUAAGUCAGAUGUGAAAUCCCCGGGCUUAACCUGGGAACUGCGUUUGAAACUACAAGGCUAGAGUGUGGCAGAGGGGGGUGGAAUUCCACGUGUAGCAGUGAAAUGCGUAGAGAUGUGGAGGAACACCGAUGGCGAAGGCAGCCCCCUGGGUUAACACUGACGCUCAGGCACGAAAGCGUGGGUAGCAAACAGG
rnacentral:rRNA from 1 species